UUUGAAAUCUGGCGUCUUUGGCGUCCGAGUUGUAAUUUGAAGAAGGUAUCUUUGGGCCCGGCUCUUGUCUAUGUUCCUUGGAACAGGACGUCACAGAGGGUGAGAAUCCCGUGCGAUGAGAUGACCCGGGUCUGUGUAAAGUUCCUUUGACGAGUCGAGUUGUUUGGGAAUGCAGCUCUAAGUGGGUGGUAAAUUCCAUCUAAAGCUAAAUAUUGGCGAGAGACCGAUAGCGAACAAGUACAGUGAUGGAAAGAUGAAAAGAACUUUGAAAAGAGAGUGAAAAAGUACGUGAAAUUGUUGAAAGGGAAGGGCUUGAGAUCAGACUUGGUAUUUUGCAUGCUGCUCUCUCGGGGGCGGCCGCUGCGGUUUACCGGGCCAGCAUCGGUUUGGAGCGGCAGGAUAAUGGCGGAGGAAUGUGGCACGGCUUCUGCUGUGUGUUAUAGCCUCUGACGAUACUGCCAGCCUAGACCGAGGACUGCGGUUUUUUUACCUAGGAUGUUGGCAUAAUGAUCUUAAGUCGCCCGUCUUGAAACACGGACCAAGGAGUCUAACGUCUAUGCGAGUGUUUGGGUGUAAAACCCGUACGCGUAAUGAAAGUGAACGAAGGUGGGGGCCCAUUAGGGUGCACCAUCGACCGAUCCUGAUGUGUUCGGAUGGAUUUGAGUAAGAGCAUAGCUGUUGGGACCCGAAAGAUGGUGAACUAUGCCUGAAUAGGGUGAAGCCAGAGGAAACUCUGGUGGAGGCUCGUAGCGGUUCUGACGU
rnacentral:rRNA from 1 species